rnacentral:rRNA from 1 species
AUGGAUCCAUGGAUGCAGGCGUAUCUCGAGCGGAUCGACACCAUGCUCGACGCCUACAUCGACGCCACCAGGUCCCUCACCGAGAAAGUGGAUGCCCUGGUCGUCGCCUGGCGGCCAGACCUGGAGAAGAGGUCCUCCCACACCACCGUCGUCCACGGUCCACCAGCGCCGACCUCGGCGCUCGAGACCACUACUGAGGCAUCCGAACCCGUCCCUAACAUCUACUACUCUACCACCAAGGCGCAGGAGAACCCCACGGUCGCCCAUGAUGCAACUCCGAUAUGCAUUCCGAUGGUGCCUGUCACCUGUUCGACGGAUUGCUCGACCCAGGUCGACGCCAUCGAGAGCGCCGACGAAGUCCAUGACGCCACCACCGUCGCAAUGGAGCUUCACAACACUACAACUGCACUCGGCCCCGAGCUUGCGGUCGACCUCUGCAACACCAUGGCGACCACCAAGGUAGCCACCUGUGGUCACUACGGCAAGUUCGACGGCCUCAACAUCCCCGUGAAGGCCAGCAUCAGCCCGCCGCCCCACGUCCAGGAUGCAUUUCCAAAUUAUUCCACAAUCAGCAACUCCCGCGCCGAUGUUGCCGGGACGGAUGAGUACGCACUCGUGGAGGCCACUGCAGACGUCACCAUUGAGCUUGCCAUCCUCCCAGGCGUCUCCUCCUUCAUGAACAAGCUAUUCCGGAAGCAUGACAUGGACGUCUCGCCGCCCGCAAGGCACAAAGGGCUGCCAAUACGGCCGACACCAUGGCCGUCAUUUCUGGUGCAUCAUACUGCAAAGGGGAAUGAGAUUCGACCCACUCCGUGGCCAUCGUUUUCUUGCUCUCAUGAAGGUAUGACUCUGAAUCAUGAAACUCUGCUGCCUCAUGUUACAUGUGUGAUGAAGAAAUUACUUGCUAGAGGAUGUAGUGAUUUCACACUCGGAAAGACUGGUUUACCCAGAUUUCACGUUGAUAAUUCCGCGUAUAGUUCUAAGCAAGUUGGUGAUCUUUUGGUGCGCCGACCGCUUGUGAGACUUAAGCAUAGGGGCUGCCUAAAACCUUUGAGCAGCAACACUGAAGUACCUUGUUGGUUUGAUUACUUCAUCAGCAGAAGUCCACAAUACCCCAGGCAAUGUAUUGCCAACUAG